rnacentral:rRNA from 1 species
UACGUAGGGUGCAAGCGUUGUCCGGAAUUAUUGGGCGUAAAGAGCUCGUAGGCGGUCUGUCGCGUCGGCUGUGAAAACCCGGGGCUCAACCCCGGGCCUGCAGUCGAUACGGGCAGACUAGAGUGUGGUAGGGGAGACUGGAGUUCCUGGUGUAGCGGUGAAAUGCGCAGAUAUCAGGAGGAACACCAGUGGCGAAGGCGAGUCUCUGGGCCAUAACUGACGCUGAGGAGCGAAAGCGUGGGGAGCGAACAGG